UACUUGCCUUGGGGCUGUUCCUGUC
rnacentral:miRNA from 1 species